GGGGCUGUGGCUCAGGGGUAGCGCACUCGCCUGGCAUGUGUGAGGCCCUGAGUUCGAUUCUCAGCACCA
rnacentral:tRNA from 1 species